AGUGAACGCUGGCGGUAGGCCUAACACAUGCAAGUCGAACGGCAGCACAGUAAGAGCUUGCUCUUACGGGUGGCGAGUGGCGGACGGGUGAGGAAUACAUCGGAAUCUACUUUUUCGUGGGGGAUAACGUAGGGAAACUUAAGCUAAUACCGCAUACGACCUGCGGGUGAAAGCAGGGGAUCUUCGGACGUUGCGCGAUGGAAUGAGCCGAUGUCGGAUUAGCUAGUUGGCGGGGUAAAGGCCCACCAAGGCGACGAUCCGUAGCUGGUCUGAGAGGAUGAUCAGCCACACUGGAACUGAGACACGGUCCAGACUCCUACGGGAGGCAGCAGUGGGGAAUAUUGGACAAUGGGCGCAAGCCUGAUCCAGCCAUACCGCGUGGGUGAAGAAGGCCUUCGGGUUGUAAAGCCCUUUUGUUGGGAAAGAAAAGCAGCAGGUUAAUACCCCGCUGUUCUGACGGUACCCAAAGAGUAAGCACCGGCUAACUUCGUG
rnacentral:rRNA from 1 species